AAUUGGCACAGCUUUAACUUCAGCUCUACCUCUUCUAGAGCUAGAGCUCAGCCAAACAAUUUUAGCUCCACCUAAAAUAGGAGUAGAUCUGGGUGGAGCUCUCUCAUAAAAUGAACUAGAGAGGUGGAGUUGGGUUUAGGCAGCUCCAUAACUCCACUUCAGACCCAACUCCUGAAGUAAAAUUUGGACCUGUUUGGUAGAGCUCCAACUCCUAAUUUUAGCUCCAGGAGUUGGGUCUGGAGUGGAGUUGUGGAGCUGCCUAAACCCAGCUCCACAUUUCUAAUUCAUUUUGUGAGAGAGCUCCACUCAGCUUCACUCCCAUUUUAGGUGGAGCUGAAACUGUUUGGCAGAACUCCAGCUCUAUGAGAGGUGGAGCUAGAGCUGGAGCUGUGCCGAAC
rnacentral:misc_RNA from 1 species